rnacentral:lncRNA from 1 species
GUAACGUUUAUUUUUUGCAUCUGAAAAAUGAAAAACACGGUCGCAGCACACACCGACACACUUAUUCAUUGUCUCUCAUUUGCUCGAGGAACAUCAACAGUGACACACACACUAACUCACUGAUACACACAUAUAUAGAUACACAUACAUAGAAAUGAAUGGAGAGGAAAAGCGAUUGAUUGGCAGGAAAAGUAGGAAGAGAAAUUACUUCGGUUUCCGGCAUUUGAUAUAAUUCUGCUGCUACACAAGGACAUCCGAGAACGCAACCAAAGAACGGCCAGCCAGCCGAUGUAGGACGUUAACAUCAGGAAUCUUACCGACACUAAAGGUGUGUGAAAGCCGUGAGACCUACUCUUUACGUAACAAGCAUAUGGAUUUUUUGUCUUUUAAAGUUAUACAUUAUAUUUAUUGGACGAAAUAAAUCGCAG